AGUGAGGAACAAGCAUGCCUGUGCCAGACGAACCCUUCCUUCCUCUUGGGUGACUCUGGAGGGCCCAGGCCCAUUGCUUCCUUCCUGCUUGGUUAUUUCAGGAAAGAGAUCAGUGCUGGAUGCUGUGGGGAAGAGAGUACUGGGCUGACAGUCAGUGGAUGUGGAUUUUGUUUCCCAGUUCCAUCGCUGAUUUGCAGACAUGGAUGGUCACAAAGGUGAAUUCACUUGCUCAAGAUCCAACACACACAAAAUGGAGGUGGUUCAAACCCAGGUGUGUCUGACUGCAGAGCCUGUGUUCUUCCCAGUAGAGAUGUGGAUGCAGCACAAAUGGUAGAAAGGACCUGAGACUUAGUCAGAAGACCUCAGUUCACCCAAGGUAUCUGCUAUGCCCAAGGCCUCUGCUCAGUGCUGAGGAAACAAGCAUGGACAAGAUGUGGCCUCCACCCUGAGGAGCUCCUAAAUCUAGGACAGAGUAAAUCUGUUAGAAAUGUCUUCUCUGCACAUAAUUUAAGCUCUACCAACUGUUAACUUCUUUUCAUUUAUCCAAGUUUUGCCAGGUACCACACCAAUAAAAAAAGACUCAGUCCCUCUUCCUUCAGA
rnacentral:lncRNA from 1 species